GUUUAGUAUGUUUCAUCCAGUUUUCUCCAGGCUGUCCAGUUUCCUCCCUCAUCCAAAAAAAAACCUUGUAGCGGAUUGGCAAUGACAAAUCUGCUCUUAACCUCAGGAAUAAUGCCCAUGAGGCAGAAAACACCAUGGUUUUUGUGAACAUGGAGGUCAACACAGUCCGAAUACGAGUGCAGACAUACCUGAUUCAUCCUGACCCCCUAACUCUGGUUGGAGCCUCGUUGCUUGGUGGUACACUCUGUGGAUAGAACCACUUGGAGACUAUCAAGCCACCUUUGAACUGCCUUUGCAUUAGUCAGCUUUGUGCUCAGGUCUUCAUCAGGAAACAUUUGAAGACUUCAGCAGGAAAGAAUUAGUGUCUGUAAUUAAGUCUGUAAUGAUCUCAGAAAUUACCCAGACCUAUUGGUUCUACAUGAGCACUUGGUGGCACAAUUCCACUUGACUACAAACUGCUACAGAAAGGACAUUAUUUACAUUUACAUAAUUUCCUGUCCAUUAUCACCCAAAUAAGCAUGGGUUUCCUUCUGAGCCUGGGUCCUCUCAAUGUUUUUUCCUCAUAUCAUCUCAGCUUGUUUUUUCUUGCCACCGUCACCUCAGGCUUGCUUAUU